CGACGCUGCUGAAAAAUGACAGGAAACAGGCAGCACGGCUUAUGAGGAAUAAAACGAACUGUCAAACGAGAGACAGUCAACUCGAUCGAGAAUUUCUUUUUGUGUGAGAAGUCGUCGGGUGCACAUCGCGAGUCAACCGCGGACGGAGUUACUUCUUGAAGAGCCGGCGAACGAUCAAGCCAACAACGGACAAAAUCCCGCUGAGGCAUUAAAGAGAGAAAACCAAGAAAGGCCCUCCAGAGAGGGCUCUUUUUUCCUGUUUUUGUGCUGUGGUGCGGUGUUCCGAAUUUCGGCGGCGUCGGAUUCGAACGGACUGUUCGGAAACGUGCAAGUCGGCACGGGAAGGACUGGAGCGGCUUGAGGAUUGGUAGCUGGGAGCGGAGGCGGACUGGUGUUGCUGGACGGACGCCGCGAAGACCGGAUGGCAGUCAAGUGAGCUAGAUUAAGCAACGUGGGGUCGCACGGAGCGCGAAAUGCCCGGCGACAAAAGUUUACAAGGAAUGAAAAGCAUAGGAGAUUAGAGCGGGACGGGAUGAAGAAGGAAGGAAAAUACACAGAAGUGGUUUAAGUAGAUUUGUGGCCAAUUUUCUUCAGUUUUGGGAAAAGCCUUUUUAUGAUGAGGUUAGCAUAUAGAAAACCCACAACAACCAAAAACAUUAUUUCAAGUAAAGCGUUCAAGGUUUAACCACUCCGUACCUAUGUUUUCUGAAAGCUGCUACUGAGAAUUUAUGUUAUUAUAUCAUUAUGAACUGUUCCAAUGAUUUAAAUUUUGAUUUCCGCCAGGGUUAAUACCUCAAUUUGCUAUAUGCACAAUUGACACAAAUUGGAUUGCAAUUUACAGAACAAUCUGUUCUCUAACCAUACUGAAUAGUUUCUUCGUGCAAAUUUUCAAGUUUAAUUGUUAAACUCAAAUCAAAGUUUGAAUGUCAGGUAAUGCCAUGUGGCAUCACCCGCCGGGAAUGGGUUGAAAAAAUGGCGCUUGGUUCGGUCUGGUCGCACGCCGAUCAUCUCAAAAUCACCUUCCAUCGUUCUUUGUCUUCAAUGCAAAGGAUAUUUUUGGCGGCUUUUGUCGAUGCAACUGGAACAGAAUCUUCAGCCACAUGCUAACGUAUCACGUGUGCCAAAACAGUGAAGACAUAGUACACUGUGAUUUCCUUACAGUCCGAUGGCUUGAUACCAGGCGAGACGUACGAUGCAACGAAAAAAAAGCACCUGCCAAUUUAGCACCGACAGGCACCGUUCUGUUUUACAAAUUUUAAAACCUAUGUGCACAAAUUUUCGAACAUCGUGUUCAGACCGCAUGUCAUCUCAACAUGUUUAUGUGUAUCUCAUAUUCGGGCAUGCUAGUAGGAAACGGUGAACUACGAUGGUAAUCACGCGCUCGUUCAACAAAAAACGUAGGUUUUUUACCAGCGUGCACAUGUGGGCAUGUUUUGCGGAAGACUGAGCUGGAGUAUAUCUUCAACUAUUGGGUAUUAUACAAAAAAAAAAAAAGAUUAGUUACCUUUCUGAGAUUCUGAUCAGGAAACAAUCUAUUUAACAAAUUAGUUAUGCUAAUUGCA